rnacentral:misc_RNA from 1 species
UCAAACUUGGUCAUUUAGAGGAAGUAAAAGUCGUAACAAGGUCUCCGUUGGUGAACCAGCGGAGGGAUCAUUACGAGAGUGUCACCGCUCCAACCCAUUGUUUACCUACCCGUCCACCGUGCUUCGGCAGGCAGUCCUGUGGGACAGGGCCUCGCCCCCGCGAGGGGGUGCCUGCCGCUGGCCAACCAACAUUCUAGUCGUUUUAGUACCAUCUGAGUCUUCCACAAAUGAACAAAACUUUCAACAACGGAUCUCUUGGUUCUGGCAUCGAUGAAGAACGCAGC